UAAGGAAUAUUGGUCAAUGGACGCAAGUCUGAACCAGCCAUGCCGCGUGAAGGAUGAAGGUCCUCUGGAUUGUAAACUUCUUUUAUCUGGGACGAAAACGGGAUUUUUAUCUCAAUUGACGGUACCAGAGGAAUAAGCACCGGCUAACUCCGUGCCAGCAGCCGCGGUAAUACGGAGGGUGCGCGCGUUAUCCGGAUUUACUGGGUUUAAAGGGUGCGUAGGUGGGCUUAUAAGUCAGUGGUGAAAUCUCCGAGCUUAACUUGGAAACUGCCGUUGAUACUAUAGGUCUUGAAUUAUCUGGAGGUAAGCGGAAUAUGUCAUGUAGCGGUGAAAUGCUUAGAUAUGACAUAGAACACCAAUUGCGAAGGCAGCUUACUACAUAUAAAUUGACGCUGAGGCACGAAAGCGUGGGGAUCAAACA
rnacentral:rRNA from 1 species